AUACGAAGGUCCCAAGCGUUGUUCGGAUUUACUGGGCGUAAAGCGUGCGUAGGCGGCAAGGUAAGUCAGAUGUGAAAUCCCGGGGCUCAACCCCGGAACUGCAUCCGAUACUGCCUUGCUAGAGUAAUGGAGGGGCAUCUGGAAUUCAUGGUGUAGCAGUGAAAUGCGUAGAUAUCAUGAGGAACACUAGUGGCGAAGGCGAGAUGCUGGACAUUUACUGACGCUGAGGUACGAAGGCCAGGGUAGCGAAAAGGAUUAGAAACCCCAGUAGUCC
rnacentral:rRNA from 1 species